GCACCGUCGACCUGUUCCGUCACUUUCUCUUCGACCAAUCCCACCUUUCUCAGGUUCCUAUUCUUAAUCUUGCAACUAUAAGAUGGAUUCAGCCUAACACUCUAGUUCGGUUAAUGAUUCAAGACAUGUUAGGAAAUGAAUUCUAUGUUGGUGCUUACAAGGAUGGUUCAGUUUGGAGGACGAACAAGUACAUGGAUUUUUCUCAGUUCCCCAUAGGCUCUUCCCCAGA
rnacentral:misc_RNA from 1 species